GACGAACGCUGGCGGCGUGCUUAACACAUGCAAGUCGAACGAAGUGGCGAACGGGUGAGUAAUACGUGGGUAACCUGCCCUCCUUUUUGGGAUAAGCCUUGGAAACGGGGUCUAAUACCGAAUAAAGGGGGAUGGGCUCGCGGCCUAUCAGCUUGUUGGUGGGGUGAUGGCCUACCAAGGCGGUGACGGGUAGCCGGCCUGAGAGGGUGAACGUCAACAUGGGGACGGAGUGACGGCCCAGAGUCGUCAGGGGGGCGGAAGUGGGGGAUAUGGCACAAGGGGGGAAAGCAGGAGGCAGCGAGGGCGCGUGGGGGAGGAAGGCUUGAGGGUGGUAAACCUCUGGCGCGAGGGAACGGGUAGGGGGAGAAGAAGCGCCGGCUAACUACGUGCCAGCAGCCGAGGUAAUAC
rnacentral:rRNA from 1 species